CUUCAAAGGCGGCUUCUACACCGCUGUCUUGGAAACAAAUGGGGAAAUAGUUUGUGUUGCAGCUCUAAGGAUAUAUCCAUGACAAAAUGAUUGCUGAAAUGCCUUUCAUUGCUUCCCAUUUUGCUCAUAGAUGUAAAGGGAUGUGUAGAAAGCUUAUGAUUGCUAUUGAAUCUGUGCUUUGCUACCUCAAUAUAGAGAAACUAAUCAUUCCAUAUGCAUCAGAAAAG